rnacentral:rRNA from 1 species
UACGUAGGGUGCAAGCGUUUGUCCGGAAUUAUUGGGCGUAAAGAGCUUGUAGGCGGUUUGUCGCGUCUGCUGUGAAAUUUCGGGGCUCAACCCCGAACUUGCAGUGGGUACGGGCAGACUAGAGUGUGGUAGGGGAGACUGGAAUUCCUGGUGUAGCGGUGAAAUGCGCAGAUAUCAGGAGGAACACCGGUGGCGAAGGCGGGUCUCUGGGCCGAUACUGACGCUGAGGAGCGAAAGCGUGGGGAGCGAACAGG